rnacentral:rRNA from 1 species
AAUAGAUACCCCGGUAGUCCACGCCGUAAACGUUGGGCGCUAGGUGUGGGGGUCCUUCCACGACCUCCGUGCCGCAGCUAACGCAUUAAGCGCCCCGCCUGGGGAGUACGGCCGCAAGGCUAAAACUCAAAGGAAUUGACGGGGGCCCGCACAAGCGGCGGAGCAUGCGGAUUAAUUCGAUGCAACGCGAAGAACCUUACCAAGGCUUGACAUGCACGGGUAAGUUCCAGAGAUGGUUCCCCCGUAAGGUCCGUGCACAGGUGGUGCAUGGUUGUCGUCAGCUCGUGUCGUGAGAUGUUGGGUUAAGUCCCGCAACGAGCGCAACCCUUGUCUCAUGUUGCCAGCAAUUCGGUUGGGGACUCAUGAGAGACUGCCGGGGUCAACUCGGAGGAAGGUGGGGAUGACGUCAAAUCAUCAUGCCCCUUAUGUCUUGGGCUUCACGCAUGCUACAAUGGCCGGUACAAAGGGCUGCGAAACCGUGAGGUGGAGCGAAUCCCAAAAAGCCGGUCUCAGUUCGGAUUGGGGUCUGCAACUCGACCCC